rnacentral:lncRNA from 1 species
AAAUUUAUUCUGGGUGAUAAGGUUAGACAAUUUACAAGGCAUUUAAUUUUUCUAUUCUUAAUUUAUCAUUUUUUAAUUAUUUUAUUACUGAUGGAUUUGUUAAUUGUUUGCUUUUUUAUGAAGCAUAUUGAUAUUGCGCUAUAUAUCAGAGAAAGAAGAAAUGCUACCACCCUCGUGAUCAUUUUAAAUGCACAACUACUGACAUUCUUUUUUAUAACUACAUGGCCCGUGUGCAUAAGGAUUUAGUGAAGAUGCUAGUGAUGAUUUUUGGUGUGCUAUUGAUGACUCGUUGUUUCUAACACCAUAUGUGUGGGGGAACAGCCGCAGAUGUGGGAUUGCUUGGACUGAGGUUGAUAAAAUCUUUUCCCAUGUCGCCUUCCUUCAGAAGAUGACAAAGCUGUGACACAUUUUCUGUUGGGAGUUUUGGACUUGAAUCUAAAAAAGAUUUAUGUAUAUGAUUCCAUAUACAAUGAGCCAUAUGAAGCUGGAAUCAACCAUAUGGAAAUGUAUACGCGCAUUAUCCCCCACAUGCUUAUUGAUGUAUAUGAUUCCAUAUACAGUGAGCCGUAUGAAGCUGGAAUGAACCAUAUGGAAAUGUAUG